rnacentral:rRNA from 1 species
UUGACGGGGACCCGCACAAGCAGCGGAGCGUGUGGUUUAAUUCGAUGCUACACGAAGAACCUUACCAGGGUUUGACAUGCAAGUGGUAGGAAGCCGAAAGGUGACCGACCCUUCGGGGAGCUUGCACAGGUGCUGCAUGGCUGUCGUCAGCUCGUGUCGUGAGAUGUUCGGUUAAGUCCGCUAACGAGCGCAACCCUCGCUGUGUGUUAUAUGUGUCACACGGGACUGCCGGUCUUAAGCCGGAGGAAGGUGGGGAUGAUGUCAAGUCAGCAUGGCCUUUAUAUCCUGGGCUACACACACGCUACAAUGGCCAACACAAUAGGUUGCUAAGCCGCGAGGUGGCGCCAAUCCAUAAAGUUGGUCUCAGUUCAGAUUGUAGGCUGCAACCCGCCUGCAUGAAGAUGGAGUUGCUAGUAACCGCAGGUCAGCUAUACUGCGGUGAAUACGUUCCCGGGGCUU